AUUGACUUCUUGAGAUAUCGAUCGACAUAACAAAGAAACCUUGGCUGACAAGCUGAGUGAAAAGCGAUACCCUUCUGACGAGAGUUGUGAAUCUAUUUGACUUACUUACAAUCUGAUAUCAAAGGUAUUCCGAUCCCCUUUACAGCUAGAAAGGAAAGAGGAUUUGAAAAUCUAACGAUAUCCGUGGAAUACUUACCCUAUCGAUUGAUGUUUCAUCUAUUUGAAGAUUCUGUAACCAAUCGACAAGGGCUGUAUCCGGAUGUGAAACCGUACUAUAACUCUGAUGGAAUCUCAGGAUGUAUUUUGUAAUAUCCCACCUGUGUGCAAACAAACAUAUAUACAUCAGACUUUAAAUAACUGCCUGUGGAGAACCUAGCUCAAUGAACGGAGGCUUUCCGGUGGCCAUCUCAACUAUUGUGCAACCCAAAG